rnacentral:rRNA from 1 species
AUUGAACGCUGGCGGCAGGCCUAACACAUGCAAGUCGAACGAGUGGCGGACGGGUGAGUAAUGUCUGGGAAACUGCCUGAUGGAGGGGGAUAACUACUGGAAACGGUAGCUAAUACCGCAUACCAUCGGAUGUGCCCAGAAGGGAUUAGCUAGUAGGUGGGGUAAAGGCUCACCUAGGCGACGCUCCCUAGCUGGUCUGAGAGGAUGACCAGCAACACUGGAACUGAGAGACGGACCAGACUCCUACGAGAGGCAGCGAUGGGGAAUAUUGCACAAUGGGCGCAAGCCUGAGGCAGCCAUGCCGCGUGUAUGAAGAAGGCCUUCGGGUUGUAAAGUACUUUCAGCGGGGAAGCGUUACCGACAGAAGAAGCACCGGCUAACUCCGUGCCAGCCGCCGCGGUAAUAC